rnacentral:rRNA from 1 species
AGUGAACGCUGGCGGUAGGCCUAACACAUGCAAGUCGAACGGCAGCACGGUAAGAGCUUGCUCUUACGGGUGGCGAGUGGCGGACGGGUGAGGAAUACAUCGGAAUCUACUUUUUCGUGGGGGAUAACGUAGGGAAACUUACGCUAAUACCGCAUACGACCUACGGGUGAAAGCAGGGGAUCUUCGGACCUUGCGCGAUUGAAUGAGCCGAUGUCGGAUUAGCUAGUUGGCGGGGUAAAGGCCCACCAAGGCGACGAUCCGUAGCUGGUCUGAGAGGAUGAUCAGCCACACUGGAACUGAGACACGGUCCAGACUCCUACGGGAGGCAGCAGUGGGGAAUAUUGGACAAAGGGCGCAAGCCUGAUCCAGCCAUACCGCGUGGGUGAAGAAGGCCUUCGGGUUGUAAAGCCCUUUUGUUGGGAAAGAAAAGCAGCAGGUUAAUACCCCGCUGUUCUGACGGUACCCAAAGAAUAAGCACCGGCUAACUUCGUG